NNNNNNNNNNNNNNNNNNNNNNNNNNNNNNNNNNNNNNNNNNNNNNNNNNNNNNNNNNNNNNNNNNNNNNNNNNNNNNNNNNNNNNNNNNNNUUUUUUUUUUUUUUUUUUUUUUUUUUUUUUUUUUUUUUUUUUUCAUUCCAUUUUGUUAUAUUGAACUCUCUAUGUUUUUUAAUUGUAUUAUACUUUAUAUUCGCCUGAAUUUUUGUUUUGUUAUUUUUAAUUUAAAAAAAAAAAAAAAAAAAAAGCAACUAAAUUUAUGAAUUAUAAAUAUAAAUGCUAAGUAAUAAAAAUAUAUAUAUAUAUAUAUAUAUAUAUAUACAUACAUACAUAUAUACAUGUAUAUAUGCAAAUAAAUUUGUUUUAUUUAUUUUUAAUUCCAACAUUUAAAAAUUUUGUUUAUAAUUGUCAUAUCAUUUGAAUUUAAUUUUUUUUUUUUUUUUUUUUUUUUCAAUUUUGAGUUAAAUUUUUGUUUUUUUUUGAGAAAAAUAUAUAUAUAUAUGUAUAUAUACAAAUUUGAGUAUAAAAGUGCUUAGCUUAAAAAGAUAUAAUUUUUGUUUUUACGAAUGUUAUGAGUAACAAAUGGAAGAAAUUGAGUUAUAUAUUACUAAGAAUGAAAUAAUUACUAUAGGUGAUAAGUUAAUUGAUAGCGAAGACAUUUUUCAGUUAAGUAAUAAGAUUAAGAAUACGAAGGUAUAUCAAUGUAUAGAUACGAUUUUGGAAUGUAUUUUUCAUAUGCCAGUUAAGAUUGGAAUAUAUGCAACUAUAUUAGGAAUAAUAACAAAAAAUAAUGAAAAGUUAAAAACUCAAUUAAUUUCUAAAUUAAAUCAUAAUAUAGAAGUUUUUGUGAAAAAGAAUUUUUUACAAUGUUUAUUAUGGUGUAGAUGUAUAAUAGGGUUAGGUUGUUGUGGUGUUUAUGAUUUUGAUUAUUGUUUAGAUUUUUUAAAAAAAUUAUUAGAAUUGAGUAUAGAAACAUACAAUGAAAAUCAAUUUGUAAAAGCUGAUAAUAUAUUAUAUAUACUUUUAAGUAAUUUUUUUUAUAUUUCUAAACAGAAAUAUGAUAGUAAUAAAAAUGAGUUAGAUUUAUUAUUAAAUAGCAGUUUUGAGUUAAUAGAAAAAAGGCAACGUUGUAUUGAUAAUAUAGACUUAGAAAGUGAUGAUAUAAGUAUAAUUGAAUAUAUUUAUAUUUAUAUUAAUGGUGUUAUUCAUAGUAAUAAUUUUUAUGAUAGAUUAUUUUAUUUGAAAGAUGCAUUAAAAUGUUACUUAGAUAAUAAUUUAAAAAGUGUUGCCACGCAUAGAUUUUAUCAAAAAGAAAUAUUUCAAAAUAUAUUUUUAAAAAAACAAAAAGAGGAUAUAAACGAUAGUAAAAGUUAUGAAAAAGAUGAUGAUAAAAAAAAUAUUUUAAUAAACAAUACAAAUGGUAUAAAUAAUGAAAAAAAUGAUAAUGACGAUGAUGAAAUUUUGUUAGAUGAUAUACAUGACGUUAUAGAAGAAAUUGGUGGUAGUGUUGAAAAAAAAAAGGAAAAUAUAACAGAAGAUAGUUUAAAAGGAAUUCCAAAAAAAGAAUUAGCGGUAAUGGAUUGUAUUAAAGAAUGUUUAAAUGUUAAACAUUUUUUAAAAUAUGAUUGUGAAGAGUUUAUAAGCAGUUUACAAAUAAUAUUUCAUACAAAGUAUGCUAAUAGUAACAAUAUACACGAUAUAUGGUUAAUACAAGAACAUAUUUUACACAUAAUUGAGUUAUAUAAAGAUAGUUCAGAGUUUUGUUCUAAAGUUUUAGGUGUAUAUGUUCAAUUACAAAGUAAAAUGUAUAAUAAUGUUUUAAUUGAAGUUAUAAUUAAUAAAUUAUUGGCAUCUUUUAAUGAUAGUAAUUAUUAUUUUUAUAUUUCGUUAAUUCAUAGACUUUUAUUAAUUAAUAAAAACUUAGGAAGUGUAGUUAUAAGAUGUGUUAAAUUUAUUAUAAAUAAAAAUCUUGAUUUAUUAGAUAAUGAAUCUUUUUAUUUGUUUAUGGAGUUGUGUUUAUAUUUGUUAUCUCAUUUUUUAUUUGAAAAUAAGUUAGCAAGAAAUAAAGAAAUUUUUUUUAAACGAAAAUAUAAUGAUAUGAAUAAAAUUUUGCAAGUAAAGAACGAUAACGUGAAUCAAUCAAAUCAGUCGAACAUAAACAUAGAACAGAAUAAAGAGUUUGGAAAUACAUUUACUUCGAAUGAUUUAAAAGGUGUUAGUAGCGGUAUUGGUAGCGGUAUUAGUAGCGGUAUUAGUAGCGGUAUUAAUAGCGGUAUUAAUAGCGUUAUUGACAGCGGUAUUAAUAGCGGUAUUGACAACGUUAUGUCAGAAAAUUUGUUACUCGAUAAGCAAAUGGCAGUAAUUAUUGGGGAAAAUGAUAAUAUUAAAAAUGAGAAUUUAGGAAGUGUCAAAAAAAAUGUUAUUUUAACAAAAAAUGAAAGUACUUUGAAUAAAAUGAAAAGUCAUGAGUUAAAAGUACCUUAUUGUUUAGAUAUUGAUAUUAAAUAUAGCUCAGAUGAAGAGGACAUAGAUGAUGAAAAAAAAGAAGAAGAACGAAAAAAAGAAGAAGUAAACUUAGAAUCAAAAAUCAAUCGUAAUACUAAUGAUGGUUAUGGAGAAGACGAAGAUGUUGAUUAUGACGAUGAAGAGGGUGACGAACGAAAUGAUAUAAACCACCACAACAACGAUAGUGAUAAUUUGUAUGAUGAAGAAAACAAUGAAUAUAGUAAUUUUGAUUGUUCCAUUUUUAUAGAAGAAUUACAAAAAAUGAAUAUGACUAAAAACUUAAAAAGGUUUACUAGUUUAAUGUAUAAUGUAAAAAAAAAACAUCAUAGAAAAUGGGUAAAAAAUUUUUAUUUUAAAUCAUUUUCUUUAGUUUAUAAAAACGAUACAAAUGAUUUGAUACCCAAGUCAGUUAUUGAUUAUUGUAAUAGUUUUAUCUGUGUUAAAGACAAAUCGCAUGAACAAUUAUAUGAAUAUAUGAUAUUUCAGAUUAUUUUAAAAUAUACUUUGAAUGAAGUUAAUGAUAUGGAGGAUAAAUAUAUUGAUAUGAGUAAUUCGAAAAAAAAAAACUAUGACAAUUAUAGCAGUAAUAAACGUACUAAUUUUACUAUUGAUACUGUGAAUAAUAAUAAUGUUCUAUACAAUAGUAAUAGUAGUGAUAACAUGAAUAAUGAAAAUGCGAUAAAUGAGUUUAAAACAGUAAUUAAUGAAUUAAUUGAAAAUUUUUUACAAUAUUUAGAUACAAAAAUGUAUUUGAAUAAGAUCCCAAUGUUUUUUAACAAUUUAUCACAAAAUGUUUAUUUAUUAAAGGAAUAUAACAAUAAUAGAAAUAUUAAUAAAUUAAAUGUUUUUUUUUUUGAUAGUUAUAUAUAUCCUAAUGAUUUUUUAAUAAAGUCAGAAAAGUGGGAUAGUCAUAAUAUAUUAAUACUUUUAUUUAAGGCUAUGAUAUUUUUUGGAGAAUCUAAUGUAUCGGACUUGGAGAAAAUAUUUAAAACUCAUGCAGUUAUAUUUCAUAAUUAUAAAAAUUCAAGUUAUAAUAUGCGUUCGGACGAUGCAAAAAAAGAGUUUGACAUAGAUCUAAUCAAAACGGUUUACAAUUACUUUAAUAACUCAAUUUUAUUUAAUGUAAUUGUAAAUAUAUUACUUAAAAAUAAAAUAAUGGAUGAAUU
ensembl:lncRNA